GUGCUUGCAUUGGCAGCAUGUAUACUAAAACUGGAACCAUACAGAGAAGAUUAGCAUAGUCCCUGUGCACAGAUCACAUGCAAAUUCGUGAAGCAUUUCAUAUUUAA
ensembl:snRNA U6 U6 spliceosomal RNA